GACGAACGCUGGCGGCGUGCUUAACACAUGCAAGUCGAACGGUAAGGCCCUUCGGGGUACACGAGUGGCGAACGGGUGGGUAACACGUGGUUGAUCUGCCCUGCACUUCGGGAUAAGCCUGGGAAACUGGGUCUAAUACCGGAUAGGACCACUGCCUGCAUGGGUGGUGGUGGAAAGCUUUUGCGGUGGGGGAUGGGCCCGCGGCCUAUCAGCUUGUUGGUGGGGUGAUGGCCUACCAAGGCGACGACGGGUAGCCGGCCUGAGAGGGUGACCGGCCACACUGGGACUGAGAUACGGCCCAGACUCCUACGGGAGGCAGCAGUGGGGAAUAUUGCCCAAGGGGCGCAAGCCUGAUGCAGCGACGCCGCGUGAGGGAUGACGGCCUUCGGGUUGUAAACCUCUUUCAGCACCGACGAAGCGCAAGUGACGGUAGGUGCAGAAGAAGGACCGGCCAACUACGUGCCAGCCGCCGCUGUAAUAC
rnacentral:rRNA from 1 species